UGUUAAUAACUUAAUAUAUAUUGUUUUCCUUGGUUCCAUGUAUAUUUCAUUAUUAGCAUAUUUUUAUACUAUUUCAUUAUUAUUAAUAAUAAUUAGUUUAAUGGAACUAUUUCGUUAUUAUUAAUAGUUUAUUGAAGUCUUCUUUCAUUAAAGUUGAAGUCUUCUUUUAAAUAGUUUAAUUGUGACUGUGUAGUAGUGUACAACCAGAAUUUUCAAAUAAUAAAGUAAUGGCGUAAUAUUAGACUGUGUAUCUUAGAGUCUUAGACCGUGUAUAUUGUAUACUGUAUAUGAAUAUGAUUUUUUAUGUUGACUCUCUCUUUUGCUAGGUUUCUUUCAAAUAUUUAUAAAAGACAAUGGCUUCUUCAUCUAUUGGUGGUGGUUAGAAGAGGGAUCCUUUUGUGGAAACAUGGCACACCAAGUGCAGUGGCAGGAGAGGUUAUUUGUAACCAUUGCACGAAAACUAUGACAGGUGGCAUAUAUCGACUCAAAUAUCACCUUACAAAGAUCCCUGGAAAGAAUAUUACGGCAUGUGCCAAUGUUCCUGAAGAGGUUUAGAGGGAGGCAAAAGCAAGACUUUUAGGAUAUGAGCAAAAUAAGGCAGAAAAAAAGAGGACAGCAGAGGCAAUGGCAGGGCCAAUGAGAGAUAUCAGUUCUACAGGGUCCGAAAAUAUUGGAGUGGGCAGCAAUACAUCUUAGUUUCUUCAUUCCUCAUAACACUCCUGGUGCGCAACCCAGAUUGUUAGGUACUGCAUGGAUUAAGGAAAUGCAUCAGCAGACAAAAGAGGCAGUGGCUAGCUUUUGGUUUUACAACAAUAUUCCGUUUAGUAUUGUUGAGACUCUGAGAGUCCAUAUUGGGAGCAAAUGGUCAGUGGAUUGACCAUUUCUGGUAAGGGGUUCAAGUCCCCAACUCGUUAUGAGUUGAGUGGGCCAUUAUUGCAGCGUGAGGUCCAAAACACACAUCAAUUGGUGGAACAACAAAGGAGGAAUUGGGAAAAGAAUGGCUGCACCAUUUUAUCUGAUGGGUGGACGGAUAGUAGGAAUAGGACACUCAUAAACUUUCUAGUUGCUUCAGGGGGACAGGUGUAUUUUUAAAAUCGAUUGAUGCCUCAAAUGAAGUGAAGAAUGCAGAAACCUUGUGCAACAUGUUGGAUGAGGUGGUGACCGAAGUGGGAGUGCAAAAUGUUGUUCAGGUUGUGACCGAUAAUGCAACUGCAUAUGUGGCAGCUGGUAAACUUCUACAGGCUAGGCAUCCGACAUUAUUUUGGAGCCCUUGUGCUGCUCAUUGCCUUGAUUUAUUCCUCGAGGACAGAGGGAAACUUAGUUGGGUGAAGAAUGUGGUUGAAGAUGGAAGGGAAAUCACAAAGUACAUCUACAACCACACAUGGGUCUUGGAGCUUAUGAGACAACACAUUGAUGGUAAGGAUCUUGUGCGUUCAGGAGUCACACGUUUUGCCACGAAUUUCCUCAACUUACAGAGCAUAUUACAUGCAUUGCCCAACUUGAAGAGGAUGUUUGUGAGUGAAAGAUGGUUGGAGAGCCCUUAUUGUAGGAAGCUUGAAGCAGAGAAGGUCGUGAAGGUCGUUUUUGAUGAUAGCUUUGGCAAACUCAUGGAGGAGAUCAUCAAUUUGUCAGAGCCGUUGGUGAGGGCUCUACGGAUGGUGGAUGGGGAUAAAAACCCCAUAGGGUAUCUAUAUGAGGCCAUGGAUAAGGCCAAAGAGGCAAUUCAACACAUGUAUGGGUCAGACAGGACCAAAUAUGAACACCCAUAUGGCGCAUAAUUGAUCGAACGUGGAACCAACAACUCCACCAACAUAUCCAUGUUGCUGCCUACUAUUUGAACCCCAAGUUCUUUUACUCCUGCACUUUCAAAAUAGACGAGGAGGUUCAACUUGGCCUUGACACAUGUAUUCAGAGGUUGGUUCCUGAUGAAAAUAUUCAAUACCUCAUUGUUGAUGAGUUGCAGAGGUACAAGAAGGAAGAUGGGCCAUUGUUUUCUUCACCUAUUGGUAUUCGUAAGAGAGACACCCUGCUACCAGAUCUGUGGUGGGAAGAUUAUGGUGCCACAACGCCUAAUCUCCAAAAGCUUGCAAUCCGCAUAUUAUCUCAGCCUUGUAGUGCUUCUGGUUGUGAGCGCAACUGGAGUGUCUUUGAGGCCAUUCACACAAAAAAACGCAAUAGGUUGACUCAAAAGCGCUUGAAUGACCUUGUAUAUGUGUAGUACAACCUUCGACUACAUAAAAAGAGGGUACAAGGGAGCAAUUCAUAUGAAGCACUUGACAUUGAUGAGAUUGAUCCAUACACAGCGGAUUGGAUUGCUGACCCUGAUGGUGCUACUGGUGAUAUUGAUGUGGAUGCAUUUAUCACUGACGCUCAGUUAGAUGAGAUGUAGAGGGAGGCAGUUGAAUGGGCGACAGAGGUGGUAGAACGUGAGGAGGUGGGAGAUGAGUUUGCUGAUCCAAAAGAUGCUGAUUCCUCACCUGUUGAGGAUAUUGUAGUAGCAACAGCUACUGCUGCAACACCAUCUACUUCAGCACCCACUCAACGGCAACAGAGUUCUUUGAGCUUUAGUCGUAGACGCAAUCUAUGAUUUCCAGUUUUCAAUGAUAUGAAACCAUGAACUUAAUAUGUAUUCAGACUUCAUAGAUUGAUUUGUUUUUGUGGUCUAGAGACUCUAGACUCUACAAUAUGUAUUUGACUCAAACGUAUUUACUAUUUUGAACUUGAACUUGUUUUUGGUAUAUCACUUUGCUAUAUGGUAUGUAUUUGACUCAAACUAUGAUUUAUAUAUGAUGGAAACUAGUAAUAUGCUAUUGUGUUCUAUAAAUUUAGUGUGUACAUGUGUUUAUUAGAAUAUUUUAAGAAAUUAUAUAUUUUCAAAUGUUCGAUAAUUUUGCCGAUUUUUUCCCGAUUCCCGAUUUUAAAAAAAUUUUCGGCCAAAAGAUUUAUUGCCAAUAAAGAUAUUUACAUCUUUGCUUUAGAUCAUGCUAACAAAUCACCCUAAAGAAGCGCCUAGCUCAAAAUGCUGGAUCACAAGCACAUCCUGACAAUUUCGCCCAGGUACGAUUAGAAAGAUAGGACCUAAAGAGGAAUUUUGCUCUAGAUCCUUUGGAAGGGUCAGGAGUGAAAUUUUGCUUUUUGGCUCAAAUUCUCCAAUUUUCUUCAUCCCACUUGCUUGCAACUUGCUCAUAAGGUAUAGGUAGGUCAUUCCUCACUCAGUCAAGGCGUAGGAGUAAGGAUUUUAACCCAUGUUAGAAGCAGGAGAGGUUUUUAGAGAAAUUCGCUCUAGACCCUUUGGAAGGGUCAGGAGCGAAUUUUGUGAUUCUGCUCAAAUUCAUGACCUUUUCUCCAAAUUUUUAGUUUAGCCUUGAUCAUUAGGGGUUUUCUAAGGGCAAAAUAGGUCAAUUUUAUACCAAUCAAUGCCUAGAGGACAAGAACUCAUCAUCCAUUGACUUGACCUAUUCAAACCUUCAAAGGGAAAAUCCUUGAUGAUACUCACUCACAAACCUUCAUUCACUUCCUUAACUUAGAGACAUAGGUCUCAAAAGGCAAGACUCCUAACAUGACACAAAGACUUCCUUAAACUCAAUCAAGACUCGACUCUCGAAGCAAGACCCAGGCCUAACCAAGAGAAAGCUUUCAACAAAGACCCUAACCUGGACUACCUACUGACCCAUUUGAGCCUAAGCAGACCAUCCCAUCCUAACGAGCCCUCUGGCGACCCUUCAAUGCAAAGACUAAUAGCCAAGAACCAAAUAGACUAAGCCACGAAGACUAACCCUAGAAAGCAAAAAAGCAGGGGUCCCCAUUUGCAAUGGGGCGAUGUGUGAAUACGUCACAACAAUUUGCAACUUGCAUCUAAUUUAAACAAAUAUUUAUUUUUGGGAUUUAAAUAAUAUUUAAUUUAUUUAAAUAUGAGAGAAAGGAUUUUAGGAUAAGAUGAAUUAAUUAAACAAAUAUGUUUUAUUUAUUUAAUUAAUAGUUGAAUGAUGGUUUAAUUUUAAAAUAAAUAUCAAAUAUCUAUUUAAUUAAGUGGACAGAAAUAGGUGUCUACAGUAAGGUCUUGAAAACACGGUCAGCACAGUGAAGGCUGGAUGUUAGAACUCAUGCUGAGAAUGAGAUUGCUGGGUAAAAAUCCACCCCUAAAACAAGCUCACACUAGGGUACAUGUCUUGGACCUCAGUGUUAUUACUGUGGGGUGUCUAAAACUGGAAGUUGUCAUUGUAUGUUGUAUGUUAAACAAUAAGAAGACCACUAUUAGCAUCACCUGCUAUCAAUUCUAUGAAAAUGUUUCAGAUGUCAUGUCGUGGAUGAUAAAUAUGGGUAAGUUUUAUGGUGUUUUUAAUUAAUGAAGCCUAUAGGAUGCUAAAUGUCUGGAUUAGUAUAAAUUUCACAUAUCAACUUAAUAUAGUUGUUGUACGUCAAAUAAUAGGAAAUGAUAUCUCAAUGCAAUAUCAAGAUGUAAUUUAAUGAUCAUAAAAAAAUUGUAUUUAUUUUCUAUGCAGGAUUUUAAUUUGAAGUGUUUAUGCUUUUCGCACAUUAUUAGCAUGGAAUUUUAAUUAUUUUGGUGUUGGGACAUUAAUUGGUUAAUCCUGUGGCCCUUAUUUCCCAUAUGCUAGGCAUAUGCCUUUCUGUUAUCACUGUGUUUAUUUUUAGUUUUUAAAAUACUUGCGAGUUCAGUACUGCUUCUCAUUGCAAGAUAAUAAAAAAGAUGAUCAAUUUGG